AGCAGAUAUAUAUGAAAAAUAAAGAGUAAACAAAUAAAUUGUCCUUUAAAAACACAUGCGUACACAAACUUAUUGAGUUAAUGAUAAUAUGUGGAGUAAUAUUUAAGGAAAUAAAAUAAAAGUUCAUAAAGUUUUUUAUUAUUGCGAUGUUACCUUAGUAUGCGUCAAGAAAGCGUUGUUCUUGAAGAAUGGGACGGUGUCAGCGUGGCGGCGGGCAGCGGGAGCAGCCCCAGGUCGAGGUGGAGGCGAUCAGCGGGACAGCAACGGUCCAAGUUGGAGGCGGUCAGCGGGACAGCAAACGGUCCAAGGUGGAGGCGGUCAGCGGGACAGCGACGGUCCAAGUUGGAUGGCAAUCAGCGUGAGAGCAAUGGUGCAAGGUGGGGUCGAUCAGCGGAACAGCAACGGUCCAAGGUAGAGGCGAUCAGCGGGACAGCAACGGUCCAAGGUGGAGGCAGUCAACAGGACAGCGACGGUCCAAGGUGGAGGCGAUCAGCGGGACAGCAACGGUCCAAGGUGGAAACGGUCAGCGGGACAGCAAUGGUCCAAGGUGGAGUCGAUCAGCGGGACAGCAACGGUCCAAGGUAGAGGCGGUCAGCGGGACAGCAACGGUCCAAGGUGGAGGCGAUCAGCGGGACAGCAACGGUCCAAGGUAGAGGCGGUCAGCGGGACAGCAACGGUCCAAGUAGAGGUAAUAGGAUCACCGGAACAGCCGAUAACGAUUCGAUUCAAUUUCAACACCGCGAGCCUUGCUUCUGGGUAUGCAGACGAUUCUUUGAAUCGUCCCACCAGGGGUACCAAAUUAUGUGUAGGACGCUUCACCUGUGGUAAAAGGACCUGGUGAAUAUCUCCUGUCCUUCACACAAGAGGGGAACCAGCUUCUAUAGUGGUUGAUAUAAUUAGACUCUGAUAUUCUUUGUCGAGUCGAAGCAAGGUGUAAAUCGGUGUUGAAAUGAUUAAAAUACGUGUGAGAUAAUUAGUUUAUUUAACACAAACACUAAUAUUUACAAGUAUCGUACAAAAUAAUUAUUAUUGUUUUUACUACAACAAAAAAACAUACAUAAAUUUGCUAUGUGCAAUUGACAGUAAAGUGAACCGCGAUUUAAGAGUGAAACAUGUGAUUAGUAACAAGUGAGAGAAGAUUCGCGUGAAAAACCGUGUAAUGCGAUAGGAAAAUACGAGACGUGAAUACUUUCAGAGUUGAGCGAGAGACGCGACCGAUUAGCUCGGUAGUUGACG